rnacentral:rRNA from 1 species
AGAACGAACGCUGGCGGCGUGCCUAACACAUGCAAGUCGAGCGCGAAUUCCUUCGGGAUAGUAGAGCGGCGCACGGGUGAGUAACACGUGGGUAAUCUGCCCUCAGGUCUGGAAUAACUAAGGGAAACUUUAGCUAAUACCGGUUAAGACCACGCUACGAAAGUAGUGUGGGAAAAGCAGGGGACUUCUUCGGAAGCCUUGCGCCAGAGGAUGAGCCCGCGGCCCAUCAGUUAGUUGGCGGGGUAACGGCCCACCAAGACUAAGACGGGUAGCUGGUCUGAGAGGAUGAUCAGCCACACUGGAACUGAGACACGGUCCAGACUCCUACGGGAGGCAGCAGUGGGGAAUUUUCGUCAAUGGGGGCAACCCUGAACGAGCAACGCCGCGUGCAGGAAGAAGGUUUUCGGAUCGUAAACUGCUUUUCUCGGGGAAGAGAACGGACGGUACCCGAGGAAUCAGCCCCGGCUAACUACGUGCCAGCAGCCGC